AGAUAUGAGGGCAAUCUGGCUGUGACAUCUGUCAUCCUAUUGAUUGCCAGAGUUGAUUUGGCUGAUCUGGCUGGCUAGGUGGGUGUCCCCUUCCUCCCUUAACGCUCCCAGCUCCCUCCUGGAGCUGCAUGCUCAGCUGAAGAGGACGAUCAGAGGAGGACCGUUCCUUGGCCAAGGAUAUACGAGUAGCUGUGCUGUCCUGCUGGAACCUCCAGACAAGCUCCCCAAGUUCUGGAGCAGAGGACACUAUUCUCAGUGCCACACAGCCAAUCAGAGGAAGCACUGAAU
rnacentral:snRNA from 1 species